rnacentral:lncRNA from 1 species
CUAAGGCUCAAUCCCCAGUACUGGGGGUUGGAGCAGUCCCGGGCCAGGGUGUGAUCCAACCACCUUAUGUUUUGGUUUUGUAAGGUAGUCGCAGAGGUUGAAGUUGUUUUAUCUUCGGUCUUCCUUAGAAGACAGAGCUAACACGUUUCCAUAGGUACUAAUUAAUGCUCCAGGAUGAGGCCCUGUGGUUAGAAGUAAUGGGCCAGGACAAACUCACUGCAUUGCAACUGGAAUGCACUUGGCAUUAAGAUAGUAUAGAAGGCAGGCACAUCUGUGGAGCCUGGAUUAUGAUUAAUAAUCUUAUUUGUGGCUUGCUAGGAACUAUGCAGGAAAACCCAGCCAGGGUGACUGGGGGCAGGAGACACUUGUGGUGCUUAUGGCUCAGGAUGGCUGCAGUUAUGUAGAGCAUAACCCAUGCAAAUAGGAAGGCCCCACACACCAUCACGGGUCUUUAAAAGAGAAGCAGGAGAGAAGGGAGCAGAAAGAUGAACAGUGACAGCUUCAGACUGGAGUUGCUACAGAGACAGCCACAGAGAUUUGGAAAAGACAAGCAAAUGGAUUCUCCGCCAGGAAGGAAUGGACCUCAUGCGUGUCUUAGCCUACGAAGACCUGUACCAGACCUCGGCGCAACAGGACUGUAAGGAAAAUCCACACAGCAAAUCAGAA